rnacentral:rRNA from 1 species
CCUACGGGGGGCUGCAGUGGGGAAUAUUGCACAAUGGGCGCAAGCCUGAUGCAGCCAUGCCGCGUGUGUGAAGGAGGCCUUCGGGUUGUAAAGCACUUUCAGCGGGGAGGAAGGCGUUAAGGUUAAUAACCUUGGCGAUUGACGUUACCCGCAGAAGAAGCACCGGCUAACUCCGUGCCAGCAGCCGCGGUAAUACGGAGGGUGCAAGCGUUAAUCGGAAUUACUGGGCGUAAAGCGCACGCAGGCGGUCUGUCAAGUCGGAUGUGAAAUCCCCGGGCUCAACCUGGGAACUGCAUUCGAAACUGGCAGGCUAGAGUCUUGUAGAGGGGGGUAGAAUUCCAGGUGUAGCGGUGAAAUGCGUAGAGAUCUGGAGGAAUACCGGUGGCGAAGGCGGCCCCCUGGACAAAGACUGACGCUCAGGUGCGAAAGCGUGGGGAGCAAACAGGAUUAAUACCCUUGUAGUC